GCCUGGCCAGCUCAGUUGGUAAAGCAUGUGACUGUUAAUCUCAGGGUUGUGAGUUCAAGCCCCACACUGGGCA